rnacentral:rRNA from 1 species
CCUACGGGAGGCAGCAGUAGGGAAUCUUUCACAAUGGGCGAAAGCCUGAUGGAGCAACGCCGCGUGCAGGAUGAAGGCCUUCGGGUUGUAAACUGCUUUUAUAAGCGAGAAAUAUGAUGGUAACUUAUGAAUAAGGAUCGGCUAACUACGUGCCAGCAGCCGCGGUCAUACGUAGGAUCCGAGCAUUAUCCGGAGUGACUGGGUGUAAAGAGUUGCGUAGGUGGCAUAAUAAGUAGCUAGUGAAAUCUGGUGGCUCAACCAUUCAGACUAUUAGCUAAACUGUUAAGCUCGAGACCGUUAGGGGUAACUGGAAUUUCUAGUGUAGGAGUGAAAUCCGUAGAUAUUAGAAGGAACACCAAUAGCGUAGGCAGGUUGCUGGGACGGUUCUGACACUAAGGCACGAAAGCGUAGGGAGCAAACUGGAUUAGAUACCCCAGUAGUC